GCUGGGCAUGGUGGCAUGUACCUGUAGUCUCGGAUACUUGGGAGCUGAGGCAGGAGGACUGCUUGAGCCCAGAAGCUCCAGGCUGUAGUGAGUGAUGCUCAUUGGGUGUCCACACUAAAUUGGCAUCGAUAUCAUGACCUCCCAGGAGUGAGGCCCACUAGUUUGCCUAUGAAGGGGUGAACUGGCCCAGGUCAGAAAUGAAGUAGGUCAAAAUCUCUGUGCUAAUUAGUAGUGGGAUCUCACCUAUGAUAGCUACAGCACUCCAGCCUGGGCAAUUUAGCAAAACCCCAUCUCU
ensembl:misc_RNA Metazoa_SRP Metazoan signal recognition particle RNA